UACAUGGGGGGCAAGCGUUGCUCGGAAUUAUUGGGCGUAAAGCGCACGUAGGCGGUUUGUUAAGUCGGAGGUGAAAUCCCUCGGCUCAACUGAGGAAGUGCAUCCGAAACUGGCAAGCUUGAGUACGAAAGAGGAUAGCGGAAUUCCCGGUGUAGAGGUGAAAUUCGUAGAUAUCGGGAGGAACACCGGUGGCGAAGGCGGCGAUCUGGGUCGAUACUGACGCUGAGGUGCGAAAGCGUGGGGAGCAAACAGG
rnacentral:rRNA from 1 species